ensembl:lncRNA
GGAGAAGUGAAAGCACACAAUAUGCCAGCGCAGGGCUGGAUCUUUAACUUGUAACAGUGACAGACACACAAAAGCCUGUCUGCUUUAUCUGACAACAAAUCGGAGAGAUUUCAAGUUUGACAUCAGCUUAGAAGAGAAUUGUAACAAAGCAAGGAAGUAGAAGGGAGAAAUAGGAUAUGCUGCACAGUCAACACAUUCAUCAGCAUUCGCUCAGUUCAUUCAACACAUAACUCAUCAGCAUAUGCAGCUUAGUUAACGAAUGCCCAUGUAAUCACUCAUAUAAUUAACUCACAAACACUCUCCGAAGGAUAAGCGGCAAGCGAGCGACAAAGGAUGUGAUAUCAUAAACAGAAUAGAAAGGUUUAUAUCAAGCAAUAUAAACAGGCUGUCAAGGUUGGGACACCUUACCAUUAAAAAAAAAAAAAAAAAAAACAUUUACAAAGAGAUUUACAAUGAGCCAAACACACGUCAAAGCUGUGCAAGAUAUAUCUGAAGAAGAAGGAGGCAGUGAUGUCUGUAAUGGAAUGGCCUGUGCAGUCACCCAACCUUAAAUCAAUCAAGCUGCUCUGAAGAUCUGUUGGAUCGAAAGGUUCUGGAGAGAGAAAGGUGUCCAACCAAUUCAGUUCCAUUCAAUUUUAUUUGUAUAGCACUUUUAACAGUGGGCAUCAUCAUAAAGCAGCUUUACAGAAAUCUGGAUGUAGAUUAGGAUCCCUAAGCAAAACAGAGGAAACAGUGGCAAGGGAAAAACUCCCUGAGAUGACAUGAGGAAGAAUCCUUGAGCAGAACCCAACUCUAAAGGGAACACAUCCUCUUCUGGGUGACCCUGGAUAGUGUGAUUAUACAUCCAGCAUCACAGAAUCAUAGAAGAUAUUUUUACAGACCAUGGUGUAUCUGAGGAAGGAAGAACAAAUCCACAUAGUUCUACUCUUAGGAAUUUGUGCAUUGCAAGAAUGAUGGACAGAUUGAGCAAGUUCUGUAAAUAAAAGCUUUUCUCUUAUCAUGCUGGACUUAUGGGACAGCCUGUAGAUCAUUACUCUCCUACAACUGUAUACUAUAAAUUCAAGCAUUUACUGAGUGUGUUGAAAGGAUGUUCAGUCUAAGCAUGUUGUGAAUAAGAGCAGGAUAGUCUCUAUGAUUACAGGAGCGGUUCUUAGAUGGGAC